rnacentral:snRNA from 1 species
AGAUAAUGGCGUGAACCCGGGAGACACACUUGCAGUGAGCCAAGAUCAUGCCACUGCACUCCAGCCUGGGUGACAGAA